rnacentral:lncRNA from 1 species
AACCAGACAACUGAGGCUUGGUGAGGGGUAAUUUAGUUGCCAAUGGGUUACACAGUAAGAUGACACAUCUAGAACUCCAGCUCAGGCCAGGGUGCCAAAUUUGUGUUCUCAUCCCCAGAUUAUGUUGCCUCAUUGCAAAACUCAGAUUAUUCCAUGGAAAAACAGCAUCUCUGGAAUUCCCAUAUAGGAGAGCUUUAGGGAAUGAUAGCCUCGUUUGCAGGGAAGUGCACUCAUGGCUUGAGACCGUGUUCACAUAUCAAGCUGCAUUAACUGAGCAAGAACCGAUUACCUUGUCAAAGAAGAGAAAGCAGACUGAGGGCUAUCAUGGGAGGAAGAGGAGGUGGCUAGAACUCUUCAAGCUACUCCCUGGCAUAGUCACACAAGGGAAUUUGAGCAUGGCAUCCCAAGUGUAGCCAUCUCUAAGAUUUAACCACUUUUGAAUCUUUCCCUUAUGAAAUCUUGGCAACUUCCAUUUUCCAACAAUUUUAAGAUCCUUCUCAAAUUUUAGUCCUUCCUAAGCCACAAGAGACUCCAAAAGCUAUAGCUCUAAUAGUUGACAUCGUUUAUCCAUAACCUACAUUCCUCCAAGAGUGAAAUAACCUCAUUGACAGAAUGAUCUAAGUGGAUGAGCAGAUAAGGGGCCAUCCACAUUCUCCCUCAUCUCCAAACCAUACCAACAGUCUCCAAAAGCUCCCUAAUAUCAAGAUGGGUAUGCAAGUUACAGGUAAGAUGGAGUAUAAACAAAAGUUAGACUCUUGGAACAAUGAAGCUAUUAAGUGUUACAUCACUUGACAUUCAGUGAAGCAGGGAUUCUUGAUAUUGCACAUCUGCAAAACCCAACACCUUUUGAAUUAGAACAUUUUGAAUUUUGCUUUCUAUCAAGAGACCCAUGCAUAAGAAAUUCAGAUCUGGAACCCAUUUAUAUUGCAGAAAGAUAACCAUAGCUUUACAGGAUAAACCUGUAACUGGCUAGCAAUGAAGGAUUGAAGGUGAGGCUUUUUUUUUAAAUAUAGCAUUCCUUGAUUUAUUUUGGCUGUUAUCUCCUGAGCCUUCCAUGAGCCUUUAGUCUUCUUUCAUUCUGAUCAACAUACUCAUGUGAAACUAGUAUCCCUAUUAGGAAAGUUAUUAAAACAAGACACGGUAGUUUAGUUACGUUACCCCUUCUGAGUAACUUUGCUGUCAAUCCAACCUAGAUUAAGUUAAGAAGCAAACUCACUUGUCACAUUAACUGAGCACUUGAAG